AACGAACGCUGGCGGCAGGCCUAACACAUGCAAGUCGAACGCAUCGCAAGAUGAGUGGCGCACGGGUGAGUAACACGUGGGAAUGUAUACUUUGGUUUGGAAUAACGUCUGGAAACGGACGUUAAUACCGGAUGAGCCCUUAGGGGGAAAGAUUUAUCGCCGAAGGAGCAGCCCGCGUCUGAUUAGGUAGUUGGUGGGGUAAAGGCCUACCAAGCCGACGAUCAGUAGCUGGUCUGAGAGGAUGAUCAGCCACACUGGGACUGAGACACGGCCCAGACUCCUACGGGAGGCAGCAGUGGGGAAUAUUGGACAAUGGGCGCAAGCCUGAUCCAGCCAUGCCGCGUGAGUGAUGAAGGCCUUCGGGUUGUAAAGCUCUUUCGCACACGACGAUGAUGACGGUAGUGUGAGAAGAAGCCCCGGCUAACUUCGUGCCAGCCGCCGCCGUAACAC
rnacentral:rRNA from 1 species